AGAGUGUCUAAAUACAGAACUAAAAUUUCACAUAUACUAUACAUAUGAAAAUCAGCACGGUCUUUUGCCAUGAUAUAUAUUCUAAUCAAUAAAAACUAUUCCGAUAGGCAGAGUAAUCUAAUAAUCUAAAACACAAAUGCAUGCGAGUGAGUGUUACUACCUGACGUUAGUCCAGAAGAAGCUAAGAAGCCCAGCCUAGGUCUCAAUUGUACCUAGAUGCACGAAAGGCACCAUUGAAUGUCUCUUUCCACAAUUUCACGCAUGCAGGAAAUCAUGCCGUUAUUCACGCAAUGAUAGACACGAAACUCAGUGCUCAGUCUGGAAAAAUAUUGUAAUUAUAGGCUAUUAUUACUGCGUUAAAUGUAAAUGAUUUCUUCCUUUCAAGAGAGCACACAAGAUAUUCGCUUAUCUUCAUUUUUGGAAAAGUAUUUGCAAGGAACAUGUCACAUGAUCUUGCUCUAAAAUCAAUUAAAAAUCUGGAAAAAUUUUCAUGUUUCAUGUAUAUCAUCAACGUGUUUUCCUAUAUACUAUUUACACUUUUUUCUUUUUCUUUUCAAUGUACAUGCAAUGAACGUCUUAAUUUCUUGGGGGGAAGCUGU